rnacentral:rRNA from 1 species
AGAGCGAACGCUGGCGGCAGGCCUAACACAUGCAAGUCGAACGGACCCUUCGGGGUUAGUGGCGGACGGGUGAGUAACACGUGGGAACGUGCCUUUUGGUUCGGAAUAGCUCCUGGAAACGGGUGGUAAUGCCGAAUGUGCCCUUCGGGGGAAAGAUUUAUCGCCAUUAGAGCGGCCCGCGUCUGAUUAGCUAGUUGGUAAGGUAAUGGCUUACCAAGGCGACGAUCAGUAGCUGGUCUGAGAGGAUGACCAGCCACAUUGGGACUGAGACACGGCCCAAACUCCUACGGGAGGCAGCAGUGGGGAAUCUUGCGCAAUGGGCGAGAGCCUGACGCAGCCAUGCCGCGUGAAUGAUGAAGGUCUUAGGAUUGUAAAAUUCUUUCACCGGGGACGAUAAUGACGGUACCGGAGAAGAAGCCCGGCUAACUUCGUGCCAGCAGCCGC